UGAUCUGGCCGUGAGCACAAUGGACCCUGCUGACCUUCCAAUGAAUGAGCUGGGGAGCAGUCCAUAGGGUUGGGAUUCUCAUCUUCAGAGACUCUGAUUGAGAAGAAGUGAAGAAGGACCUUAGUGUGUACAACACAACAAGCACUAGUGAUGAUUUUGAUGCCUGUUGUACACUGAAGACAUUUUCAAGAAACAAGUGUAAUUUUCAUUCAGAAGAUGAAAAACAUGAAAUCACCUACUCAGGGACCAUUCCAAUAACCAAAUCAAAUCCACAGCCUGGUUGAUCUGAUCAACUGUGCAGAAACUGGCCAUUACUGUGACAAAGUACCGGGAAUCAAACUCACACCUUGCACUUGCCAGGCAGGCGCUGUGCCACUGAGCUAAAUCUCCAGGCCCUACUAAUUUCCAUUUUAAAAACUGGAAUGUAAGGCCAUGCCUCACAGCAAUUAAUAACUUUUCUGGCAUCCCAUAUCUCAUACUAAUAUUAAUGCAAAGUAGAUAGUAAUAUUGUGCCAGGGGAGCAUUCCUCAUGUGUUGGGAACAGUGCCAAAAGCAAUGUAUUCUCUAUCCUCCUAGUCCAGUGGUUUUCUAUUUACCACCCAGUGCAUAAAAAAGAAAUCUACCAUCUUCUAUGGAUGGUACAUUUAAUAGCCUCAGAAUUCUUGAGUGGUAAAACCAAGAGUGGAACCAAUAUCGUCUCAUAUCUGGCCUAGCGCUUCCUCUACAAUAACAGACAUCAUAUUCCUGAGAUGAUCUACCCAAGAAGAAGAAGCUGCAGUUUGUGGCACACAAAUCACAUCACUCUUACCACUUGUACAAAGGAAACUUCUGUGACUGACUAGUUAGCUGGGUGUGGUGAAUCUCAGCAUUCAGGGAGGCUGAGGCCGAGGGAUGGAAAGUUUGAGCCCAGCCUGGGCAACUUAGUGACUUAGUAAGACUAUCUCAAAAUUUUAAAAAAAGAAAAUCAAAAUAUACCAAGCCUUGUAUUUUAUUCUAGAAGCAAGGUUCCAAGAAGGAAUAUUCCUCCAUAUUUUACUAAAAUUUCCCCUGAGGAGCACAUCUCUGUGGGGCUGUUAGUACAAAGGGUUUGGAGGAUUUCUAAAUGCAUUCAGAACAUUCACAACUUCCUGUAGGAAAUCAAGAUGGUGCCCAGUGACAGAAGAAAGAGGAGGGAUGGGAGGAUUCUGAGAUUCAGAAGCAACCACAGUCGAGAGCUUUCUGUCUAAUAAUACUCUUUUCUCCCCCUUGACUGAAGCUUUCACAUGUGAAGUGAAGGGAAACAAAUAACUAAAUAGGGUAGACACAGUGGCUCCUCAGUUUGCAAGCUUAAUUUUUUGUGCAAUUUGGGGAAAGAUGGUUGCAUUUGUGUUUGUGUGGAGAAAAUGAUCACGGUUUUGUCUGUCACCUGAUGCCACUUGCAAAUGGAAGCAAAAUUUUACCAAACCCUUUUGUUUGUGAAGCAAAUUUUUUGCGAACAAUAACAUUCAUGAACUGAAGUAUUACUGUGCUUAAACUACUCCUCAAGAGAACUAGUGGAAAACUUGGAAUAAGAUGUCAAUACUGUGAGUGAAAUUUGAGGGGGAAUUUGAAAAUCUCCUCCAUCUUGUGUAAUCCCCAUUUUUAAAACUGUUGCCCUCAAGACUCCUUUACUAACCCCAGAGAACUGAGUGAGAAAAAGUCACAUGGUUUCACAUUUGGGAGAAAAUUUCUGGUUUAAUUUUAAAAAGCUAUAUUCUCAAAUAGCAUUCUGUAAUCAGUCCACUUUUACAUGAUGCCCCAGUUAAAGUAUAUGAAGAAAAUUAGACCUUAUGCAGAUGAGUAGCCAGGAAAGAGUAAUUGAACAGCUUUUCAUAUAAUUGUAGCUAUUUAUCUUUGACAUUGCACCAAAAACUGUACAAAUUGUUUCUGAAAGGUUUUUUUGCAAUUUGGAAUCUGAUGCCAUAUUAAUUUUUCAUACUCCACUACAUCAAAACCCAUUGGCUUCUCUUCCAUCGAGUGUUGUUUUACCCAAGUAUAAUUUUCUUGGUAUUGUGCUUUGGUCAUUUGGAAAAUAUUGGUUCCUUAAAUAAUUCAGCUCUUCCAAAUGUUGACAUGUUUCACUGUUCAAUAUAAAAACCAUCUCAGUCAUUGAUAUCACUACUAAUCUCAUCAGAAUGUCUUGAAGUAUUGGGAAGCUGUCAAGUUCACAGUGGGAGAUACAGUUUUCCAGAAUUCUAAUUUUUGUUUUAAAGGAAGAAUGUUAUCAUUGACAAAAAUAACAUCAGUUGUUUCUUUUGAAGUGGCAGCUUACUUCACUCAUUUCCAAAAACCGAAGGCUAGAUAGCCAAGUCUCAGGAGCUGCUGCUUAUUGACCAGCAGCUCAACUGAGUGGUGCUGCAUGAAAGGGGACAAGUUCAGUUCACCAUGCAAACAAUUGCGCAGCUGGUUUGUCCCAGACAUGUGUGGCACCAUGGUGUGAACUCACGACUGUAGGUGUGUUUCUCCUUUUGUCCAAGUGACUGUGAAAAAUAUGUGUACCCCAGGCCCAACAUUUGGUAAAGCCAGUAAUAUUACUGUUUCAUCAUGACUAUUCUUACAUUGAACUAGUUUUUGCCAUCUAUACCUCCUCUGUCCUCUUGUUUCUGCCUUUAUUUCUUUGGUGAAUGCAAAGUGGGAAGGAGUCCAGUAACUGCUGGCACUUUUGGUGGCUUGCUUUAAUUUGCAUGAAGGUCCUCACAUGGACUCAUAGUUUAACCAAAUGGGCACUGAAAUGUCAAGACAGUGAAAAAUAUGCUUUUUUAUCAUUUUGGAAAGAGUUUAGACAAUAAAAUGAAGGAAAGAGAGCCUUUUCAACACACUGUGCUGGAAAAACUCUACAUUCAUAUGCAAAGAUAUGAAUCUAGACAGAGACUUUACACCUUUCAUAAAAAUUAGCUCAAUAGCUCUGCAGAUAAAAAGAACUAAUGUAAAGUGAGAAACUCUAAACUUCUAUCUAAGAAGAUAAUAUAGGAAAAAAAUCUAGAUGAACUUUUUAGAUACAAUAUCUGGGAUGAUCCAACAAGGAAAAGAUUGAUAAGCUGAACUUAAAAUCAAACUGAUUUGGGAUGUCAAAGACACUGUCAAGAGAAUGAAUAGAAAAAGUCACACGCUGGAAGAAAGCAUUUGCUAAAGGUUUGUCUGAUAAGAAACCAUCAGAAACUGUUGAACCACAACAGUGAGAAAACAAACAAUGUAAAACUGGGCUAGAACCCUAAUGAAUACUUCACCAAAAAGGAUGCAUAGGUGACAACUGAGCACAUGAGGUGCUCAGGGUCAUAAGAGAAAUGGAAAGUAAAGUGACAGUGGAAACCACAAAACGUCUGAGAAGUGGCUCAAACCCAGAACACGGACAACACCAAAUGCUAGCGAGGAUGUGGAACAAGAGAAAUCCUGUUUCUUUACAGUGGAAUGAUUUAUCAUCGCAUCUUGGGAGAUACUCCAGGAUUCCAUCGACAUUAUCCUCACUCUCCAAGUGGAAGAAGUAUUCCUGUUUCACAUGGGGGAGAACUGAAUUCUAGAUGUGGAGACACUAAGGUCCCACAGCCUACAAAGCAGAUGGGAUGAAUAUGAAGUCCCUCCGUGUCGUGCAAGAUGUUCACCGUGCAGCUGCCGCAUCUCACUAGUGACAGUACAAGUUGUCUUUUGUGACUUUAAGUACACAACAGUUUCAGUGAAUGCAUUUGAAAGUCAGGCAAUGAAGAGAUGCUUUCAGUUGCUCCAGCACCACCCCGGGUAGGAGAAAGACAAAGUCAAGCUGUGCUGUGUAUAUUAUGGGUUGGAUGGGGACAGUUCCUCUUGACUUCUACUGGGCUUGGAAAUGAAAGGGACCGUGGAAGUGUGCCGGGUUCUUAUUAAUACGCCUGCUCAAAAUCAAUCAGAAAGGUUUUGCUUUCUGUUCAUGGGUCAAGGGUUUGAUUUAUGCUACACAGCUCAUCGCCAGAUCACUCAGGUCAACAGCAAAAUUUAAUUCCUGAUGAGCAAUCCUUACCCUGAGCAAUCCAUACCCCAGGACCACGUCCUAGAGGGACCUUUAUGGGAUAAAGUCCCAGCCUCUGCUCAGAACCUGCCACUGUGGAAAGAGAUGAAGAUAUUUUCUGAAUGUAAACUGAGACAGAAGUAGCCAGCCCUGCCUUUGGCAUGCCCAGUUGAGAGGAGGCUCGGACAUUUUCUGCUAAUUUGUGGCACACACCUACACUUAACUGGUCAUUCAGGAGAGAGUUGAGGGCUGGAAAGGACUGGAGACCAACGAUCUAAUCAGGCCCUGAUGUCUUUCUUCUACACUGUGUGAUCCUAAAUGAUAACCUGCAGUCACCUGUGGCAACUGAGCCCUUGAAUGGGGCUGAAGAAAUGAGCUGAGAAAUGCUGUAUGUGUACAGGACACGUACCAGAUUCCAAAGACCUACUAGUAAAAAAUAUAAAAUGAACUAAAACAUGCCAUAAUUGUUAGGUUGAUAAUAUAGUGAGCCUAUAAUCUG